CUGGCGAUGAUGAGAGGCGCAGGGGUACGGACCUCAGCCGGUGAUGGGGGCUGAGUGCCGCUGCAGGUCUGACGGAGGACAUGUGGUCCUCUGGCAGAGAGCAGCGGCACGAAACAGACGCCUGUCUGAGCCGC
ensembl:snoRNA small nucleolar RNA SNORD94